AGUUUUCUUUUUCCAAUGUUAAGAGUUUGCAGUAGCUUGAUCAUGAUUCUGGAUCUUUUGGUUUUUUGGAAAACAAAGCAAAUCGGGAUUCUUUCUUCCAGGUCAUUGAUUCAUUCCUUCAAUUUAUAUAGCCACCUAUCUCAGCUACAGUGACUCUGUGUUGCAAAUUUAAAAAAUCCAGAAAACGAUGCAAAAAUCCAACCAAAAAGUAACAACCUUAUUAAAAGCAAUAAAAUCUAUCAAAACUAUUAAAAAUAAUUCAGCAGUGGAACACCAUUUGUUUCUUGAAAGUACAACUACUUAGCAAAUUUAGCACGUCACUGGAUCCCUGGGCUCUUCCAGAAGAUCAAGACGGUUCGAGCCACUCUCCCCUCUGAGGGCAGGUGACUCAGCAGAAAAAGGUCUUCUGACGCUCAUCAGAUAUCUUUCUUUUCUGGACAGGACCCAUACCAUGCAAUCUGCCCUUAGCAGGCAGACCAGCUAAGACAGGUUGAUGUGAUUGGAGUGAAAUGGACCCUCAAAUACCCUGCCUUCAUGCCAGCUCUCCUGUUGAUUCCCCACAUCAAAAUCUUUCUCCAACUCCAGAUUUUGAACAACACUUAUUCAGUGGAUGCAUAUUAGCUGUGCAUAUCUGCUGACAUCCAGUAGCAGAAUAAUGGACCAAUAGACUUUGAGUUAUAAGGAAUUUAGGAGACUUAAACACUAUUAGUGGGAAAGAAAGAAACCAUGGAUGCAGUAACUAAAACUCUUUUCAAGCUACCUGAAACCGACUUUUUGAUUGAUGUUUGGUGGUUCUCUUCUAUCCCUUCCUAUUAAAAUAACCUGUCCAUUAAAGCUGUAAGACUAGCAGCCAUUGAGGAUCUGCUCUGGAUUAUAGUAAAGACACAUGGGGCAGUGUGAUAUCCUGACUGCUUUGGCAUGGGAAAGGAGCAUGGCAAGGCAGCUGUAUGGACCCAAUCUAAGUACCAGGAGAUGCCAGAGUUGAAGAAAAAGAACUGGAAAAAAUCACAAAAUAUCGCGACCUGGCUAUCAAAAUUAUUCGAUUAUGGAUGAAACAUGUAACAGUGAUACCCAUUGUCAUCGGGACACUUGGUACCAUGUCCAAGAAUUUUAUAAAAUACAUCAACCAAUUGCAGCUUCCUGCAAUAACACCAGCGGAACUGCAAAAAUUGCACUACUCAGAAGAUCGUACAUCUUAAGAAGGUACUUGGUUGAUACCUAGGACUCUGGCAGCAACCUGUAUCAACCAUUAGCACCAGUCAAUGGUAUUUAUGAUGCAUUUUUGAAUGUUCAGUUGACUGAGUUUCAUGUUUAAUGAAUAAAGUAAACUAUUAUUAUUA